ensembl:piRNA 21ur-13947 ncRNA
UUUGCGUACAUAUUGCCAGUG